GAUGAACGCUGGCGGCGUGCCUAAUACAUGCAAGUCGAGCGAACAGACGAGGAGCUUGCUCCUUUGACGUUAGCGGCGGACGGGUGAGUAACACGUGGGUAACCUACCUAUAAGACUGGGACAACUUCGGGAAACCGGAGCUAAUACCGGAUAAUAUUUCGAACCGCAUGGUUCGAUAGUGAAAGAUGGCUUUGCUAUCACUUAUAGAUGGACCUGCGCCGUAUUAGCUAGUUGGUAAGGUAACGGCUUACCAAGGCAACGAUACGUAGCCGACCUGAGAGGGUGAUCGGCCACACUGGAACUGAGACACGGUCCAGACUCCUACGGGAGGCAGCAGUAGGGAAUCUUCCGCAAUGGGCGAAAGCCUGACGGAGCAACGCCGCGUGAGUGAUGAAGGUCUUCGGAUCGUAAAACUCUGUUAUUAGGGAAGAACAAACGUGUAAGUAACUGUGCACGUCUUGACGGUACCUAAUCAGAAAGCCACGGCUAACUACGUG
rnacentral:rRNA from 1 species